rnacentral:rRNA from 1 species
UAGGGAAUAUUGGACAAUGGGGGCAACCCUGAUCCAGCCAUGCCGCGUGAGUGAAGAAGGCCCUCGGGUUGUAAAGCUCUUUUGUCCGGAAAGAAAAGCAUUCGGUGAAUACCCGGAUGUUCUGACGGUACCGGAAGAAUAAGCACCGGCUAACUUCGUGCCAGCAGCCGCGGUAAUACGAAGGGUGCAAGCGUUACUCGGAAUUACUGGGCGUAAAGCGUGCGUAGGUGGUUGUUUAAGUUUGAUGUGAAAGCCCUGGGCUCAACCUGGGAAUGGCAUUGGAAACUGGGCAGCUAGAGUGCGGUAGAGGGUAGUGGAAUUCCCGGUGUAGCAGUGAAAUGCGUAGAGAUCGGGAGGAACAUCUGUGGCGAAGGCGACUGCCUGGACCAGCACUGACACUGAGGCACGAAAGCGUGGGGAGCAAACA